rnacentral:misc_RNA from 1 species
GGGAAGAGAAAUAUUUCGAAUGCAACGGUAUUGUAAUCAAAUAAUACAAAGUCUGUCAUGUUUCAGUGCCCGAAGCCUAGUGAAAUCGUCAAAUUGGCAGCAAUUACUUGAACUGCCUAAGAAAAGAAUAAUUUAUCCAACAUGACACAACAGACUAAAAGAAGAUCCUGCCUACAAUACAACCAAAGUUUUGGUUCAUCCGUCUAAUGAUUAUAAUCUACCAUCAAAAUUGAUCGAGAUUUCAUUCUGUUUUUGCCUUGGCCUUAAUGCGCUUCACCCUUGAAUAUAGGAAAACUCCAGCAAGGGCAAUUCCAGUUCCCAAACCGUUAAUGGGAGAUACAGGUGUGCGGAAGAAGAGAACGGAAGUCACAAUAACCACCACUCGCUUCACACAAUUACCCACAGAAUGAGUAACAGGCGAUACCCUCUGCAAUAUCAUGUAAGAAACCUGCUGAUAAGCAUGGAAGCAGAGAGCAGCAAUGAAAGACCUUGUGUAAAGCUGGUUCACAUUCAUUCCUGCAGCUUCCAGAAAAGCAGGAGUGAACUUGACACCUUCCGUGAAAAAGGCGUAUGGGGCCAGCAAGAAAAAGGACAUGAUAGUGAUUAUUGAAAAGAGAGUAAUGUUAUCCAAUGACUCCUCUUUCCGGACCAUAAACUUCUUGCUGAGGACAUUACGAGAUUGAUUGGUUAAAUUAGAGGCCAUUGCACUCCAAAAUCCAGCCCAAUUAAAAGAUGCCUCAGUCAUUGAUGCCAGUCCCACUCCACCAACAAUUGGUACAAGAGAAGAUAAAACCCACAAGGUAGGGAACUCGCCUAAGAACAUAGCAGAGAGGACAACAGAGAAGAAUGGCUCCAUAGCUUUGAUAGUGUGAGUGAAUGACACAGAAACUUUUCCAAGACUCAUGUUGGUGAAAAGGUUGCCCAAGGUAUGCACCGCUGCCAAUGGCAAAAUUGCAACAAGCUGUGCACCACUGAUUUUUGGCCUUUUGUAUAGAUUGAGAGUCCACAUUAGAAUUACAAGGACGGAGCCAACAGCAAACUGUGCGAGAGUCACUGUAACUGGGUAAGGGAAUGCUUUCAGCACCUGUUUGUUGUAAAUGUUGAAGUAGAUGUUAAAUAGAUACCAAAGCCCGAAAAGAGAUCCGAGCACCACUGUUUCCAUCAAAGGCUUAGAUUUGGGUGCCUCUCCAGCGCUGUCCGGCAGAGACGUGGCUCGAACCUCCACUCCUUCCGACUGACGCUCUGGAACCGGAGCCGGAACAGAAAUCCAUCCAUUAGGAUUCAACUUUGACGAAGAAGAAUCCGCUGAACAUCUAAUUGGAUUGAUUCUCCUCGAUGUUGAACCAUUUAGGGAUCCAAAACGAAGCGGCUGAGAUAAAGGAUUAAAUCUACAAAACGAAGCGGAACUGGACGGGUUGUGAGGCUUCUUAGGGAGUGAAAUUGACGGAGAAAACGAGAUUGCUGUGCUCUGCAUUUUGGCGAAUCAGAUCGAAGAAAUUGCAGCAGAGAGAGAGAGUGAGGAGAAGAAGAAUAUAAAGUGUGUUGUUGGGGGAGAGGAGACGUUGGGG